UACGGAGGGAGCUAGCGUUGUUCGGAAUUACUGGGCGUAAAGCGCGCGUAGGCGGCUUUGUAAGUUAGAGGUGAAAGCCCGGGGCUCAACUCCGGAACUGCCUUUAAGACUGCAUCGCUUGAAUCCGGGAGAGGUGAGUGGAAUUCCGAGUGUAGAGGUGAAAUUCGUAGAUAUUCGGAAGAACACCAGUGGCGAAGGCGGCUCACUGGACCGGUAUUGACGCUGAGGUGCGAAAGCGUGGGGAGCAAACAGGAUUGAGAAAUCCGGUGUAAGAUC
rnacentral:rRNA from 1 species